AGUCCGGUCCCCACUUCCACUGGUUACACCUCUCUCUCUCUCUCCUUCGUACCCUAAAAUACGACUCCACCGUAACCCUAAACGGCUAAACCCCAAAUCCAACUGCAUCUCCGCUCGAUGACCCCAAACCGGGUCGCUGGCUGAUCUGAUACGGUCAAACCUCCCGCCCUUACCGGCUGUUCCCGGUGGCCGCCUCCCUCGUCUUUAUUCCCCGCCCGCCAUUAAUUUAACUCGCCUCCCCGCCUUCCCCGUCAACCACCCAAAACCAACGGCGGUGAGACCCCGUCUCCCGCAUGGACCCCGCGACAACGUCGCCGCACGGCGACUGCCCCUCGCUGGCUCGCUCGCAUGCCCCUCACGUGCCUCCCCUCCCCUCGCCACCUGCCGCCCCCUCUCUCUUUCCGUCAGCUACACGACAACCGAAUAAGAGAAGAGAAACCAAGGGGCGGCGGCGAUCGGAUCUGAUCUAGAUCUGGGGAUUUGGAUCUGAUGGAGGGGAAGGAGGCAGGCGCUUCUCGGCCGGCGAACUCGGGCUUGCCGUACCGGGAGGAUUGCUGGAGCGAGGGGGAGACGUCGGCGCUGGUGGACGCCUGGGGCGACCGUUACCUCGAGCUCAACCGCGGCCAUCUCCGCCAGAAGCACUGGCAGGAGGUCGCCGACGCCGUCAACUCCCGCCGCGGUGCCACCGGGCGCCGCCAGCCUCGCACCGACGUGCAGUGCAAGAACCGGAUCGACACCCUGAAGAAGAAGUACAAGGUGGAGAAGGGGCGGAUCGGGUCCGGGUCGGGAGCCGCCGGCAGCCAGUGGCCGUUCUUCGCCCGCCUCGAUGCGCUCGUUGGAUCGUCGGCGUCUGCGGCUGCUCCCGCUGUGAAGAAGCGUCCUUUGUCGCCUCCGCUAGCCUUGCCGCUCCCGUACCAACGAAAGGGCGGGUCUUUGCCGGUUGCUGCGGCGGCCGCCGUCCGGCCAUUGAAUUUGAAGGACAAGCGUCCCACGACACCCUCCCUUUCUCUGGCGGACUCUAUCUUCCAGCGGGCCGCUGCUGCUGCGGCAGCAGCGGAGGAGGACGAUUACGAGGAAUAUGACGAGGACUUGGGAUCGCCGUCUAGAUCUCCGGACAGAUCUGGAUGGGGAUGGAAGAGACCUAUAGGGGACGGUGAUGGAAUCCGUGAGCUUGCGAAGGCGAUGGUGAGGUUUUCCGAGAUAUAUGAGAGGGUUGAGGUGGAGAAACAGCAGCAGACGAUGGAAAUAGAGAAGAAGAGAAUGGAGUUUGCCAAGGAGCUAGAGAUCCGGAGGAUGCAGAUGCUUGUGGAUUCACAGGUACAGCUUGUGAAGAUUAAGCGUGCCAAGCGAGCUGAUACCGGGUAGCGGAAGGGACAAGGUCAAACUGUGGGAGUGCUGCUAUAAGAAUUCUAAUCCUGAUAGUUAACAAAAAGACCUCUGGAUCUAGCUCGCUUACCACUAGACCAAGCAAUUGUUGACCGAUCCAUUUAUACUUUGUGAUGACAAAUUGGUUAUGCUUCUCCAUGGUUACAUGGAGAAUCUCGAGUAACUUGGACCCAUGUUUCAUCCAUCUUCAUCCUUGUGAUCGACACCACAGCAACUGGUUUUUCUUCUCUUUUCAGCCGCCACUUAAUUGUGUUAUUUAAAGCUCAUUAUCUUAACGCUAGAAAGAUGCUUUGUAACCAUCAUUUGUGUGUUUAGGAAUCCAGUUUGCAGCGAAUGUUCUGUCUCUAACACCAUAUGAUUACGGAGUCAGAUAUAGUUGCAAGAUUACUGGUGUCGUGACGACUCAUCUAAUUCAGUGUUUUUAAACAGGAUCAGAUUCAGUUAUGCAAGUGAUGACCACUGAUCAUGAAUAAAUGGCUCAGGAGAGGACUCCAUACUUCAGGUAUACCGACAAUAAACUUAAAGUCCUUUGCGAUUCUAUAGUGCCACUAAUAGUUUAAACUCCUUGCAUUCAUAGUGUAUAGGUGUUGCCACUAAAUACUUUGCCAAAGUGCUUGUCAAAGUUGUCACCAAGCAAUUUAAGGAUAAUUGUUUGUUUGGUAGCA